CCCAGGGCUCGCCCUGCCUCAGAGCCCACGAAGUUCCACCUCCUCACAGGUUGGCUGGCUCAGCUGAGGCGCCCCCUGCUCUGAGCCAAGUCCGGGCCGAGUCCGCCUCGAGCCAUGGCCAGACACAGAUGCUGCCGCAGCCCAAGCCGGAGCAGAUGCCGCCGCCGCAGACCCAGAUGCCAGAGACGGAGGAGGCCCUCCCACCGCAGAGGAAGGUGCGGCCGCCGCAGGUACACACGGAGGUACAGGAGAUUCUAACUGCGGGGAGCAAGUCACUGAACUCCUGCGGAGACUUGACCAGACCUCAGGACCUCUCGCCACCUCUUGACAAUGCCACCUUGCACUGAAACAGGAGCCUGCUAAGGAACAAUGCCGCCUGUCAAUAAAUGUUAAAGUCAUCCCACUCAGGCCUCUUCUUGUCCUCUAUGGCUGGGUACAGGGCCGGGCGGACGCGGAAGGGCUCGGGGAUGGGGCACAGAAAGGGUGCUGGGAAGGGGGACACGAGUGACGCUUGUCACAGGGAUUCUGCGCAAAGCUCAGUGACCUGACACGAGGGACAUCUGCUGCCCGAGCUUCCUACGUCUCCGACCCCUAGAGCUGGUCCUCACAUCCGAGGGCCACUGUCCCGCCACACGGGGCUGCUGCAGGAUCAGAGGGCUGUCAGGGCUUCCUUCCCCCAAGGGUACGCGAGGGUCCCUGGAGCCAGUUCAUCUGCUGGCCCCCGGCGGGCCACACAGCUUUAAUUCAAAGCUGACAUCUGGGCACUCCCUUCGGUUACACAGGGAACAAGUCGGUCGCCAUCAGCAUCGUGAAGUUCAAGGUUUCCCUCCAUUCA